AAUGAACGUUGGCGGCAUGGAUUAGGCAUGCAAGUCGAGCGAGAAGAGUUUUGAAGCUUGCUUUAGAACUCGGACAGCGGCGAAAGGGAGAGUAACGCGUAGUUAUGUGCCCUAGGGUCCGGAAUAGCCACGGGAAACUGUGGGUAAUGCCGGAUAACAUCCCCGGAUCAAAGGUGGGAUUCCGCCCUAGGAGCAGACUGCGUCCUACUAGCUAGUUGGUGGGGUAAUGGCCCACCAAGGCAAUGAUGGGUAGCGGGUGUGAGAGCAUGACCCGUCUCACUGGGACUGAGACACUGCCCAGACACCUACGGGUGGCUGCAGUCGAGAAUCUUCGGCAAUGGGCGAAAGCCUGACCGAGCGAUGCCGCGUGCGGGAUGAAGGCCCUCGGGUUGUAAACCGCUGUCGUAGGGGAGGAAGGUUCCGUGAAGAGCGGAAUUUGACCUAUCCUAGGAGGAAGUACGGGCUAAGUUCGUG
rnacentral:rRNA from 1 species